AUUGCUGUGGUGCAGUGGAUCAGUGCAUCUGGCUAUCAACCAGAACAUUGGUAGUUCGAGCCCACCCAAGAAUG